CCCGGGGCCGACGCCGGCGAAGUUUCGAUUCGGGAGGUCAGACAGGCGUCAGAAUCGCAUCUCUGUUCAGCAGCAUCCGAUCGGAUGUCUUCUUAGGUCUUGUUCUCAGCUGUGUUGACAGCUGUGUGCAGUAAUCUUUCUUUACAGUGGAUAAGGACUUGUGCCGAUUCAAAGGCAGGCAGAGGCUUCCAGCCACAGGAUUCUCAGGCAUCCGUCUCCGCGGUUCUCGGAAUAAGUCGUUCCGUUAGCAUCGUUUUCCUCCGGGGUCAUCCGAGCCCGGCGGGCUCUCCUUCGGUCCCCCCUCGGUCAUCUUGUUCAGCAUUCUCUAGGUCCUCGUGAGGACUUUCUUGUCUCAGAGAGUUUUCUCUCCCUGUCGUGUCCCCUCGUGUCACGGGUGUCUGGGGGUAUUCGGUCCGGAACUGCUCUGCCCUGUCGCCCGGCCCCGUUGCAGGUGUUCAAGGACAAGUCCCGGGCACUUGUAAUUGGAGACUCGUAAUACGGGCUGUAGUUGGAGUCUAGGUAGUAUUCUUAUGUUGGCAGAAGGUGUCUGGAGCUGUGAAGUUACCCUGCAGCACUUUGACUUUUUCCUAACUUUCUUUCAGAUGCGGAUGGAUCGACCUCCCGGCAGAGCGCCCCGUCCCAGAUGAGGGGAUCCCCCCGAGAAGGAAGUAAAGCCGGAUAGCAGCAGCGAAGGCGAAGCAUUGUGAAGGCUGCCUCCUGAUGUUGUGCUGAGGCCCCAUCACUGACCUGCCAAGAG